rnacentral:rRNA from 1 species
CAGUCGCCGCGGUAAUACAGAGGGUGCGAGCGUUAAUCGGAUUUACUGGGCGUAAAGCGUGCGUAGGCGGCUAAUUGAGUCGGAUGUGAAAUCCCCGAGCUUAACUUGGGAAUUGCAUUCGAUACUGGUUAGCUAGAGUGUGGGAGAGGAUGGUAGAAUUCCAGGUGUAGCGGUGAAAUGCGUAGAGAUCUGGAGGAAUACCGAUGGCGAAGGCAGCCACCUGGCCUAACACUGACGCUGAGGUACGAAAGCAUGGGGAGCAAACAGGAUUAGAUACCCCAGUAGUCCCUGUCUCUUAUAC